AUAUAAAACAUAUGGAUAUGUAGUAGGGGAAGUUGUAGUAUUGGUGGAUCAUUUUAAUGAAUAUAAGUUGGUGUCGGAGGAGUCACUUUAAGGCAUCAGUGCAGGGUAAAAAAAAAACUUUUGAUAUGUUGUAGUGGAAGUUGUGGGUAUCAUUUUAACGAAUA